AGGGUUUGAUUAUGGCUCAGGAUAAACGCUGGCGGCGCACAUAAGACAUGCAAGUCGAACGGACUUAACCAUUAGUUUACUAUUGGAGCGGUUAGUGGCGGACUGGUGAGUAACACGUAAGCAACCUGCCUAUCAGAGGGGAACAACAGUUAGAAAUGACUGCUAAUACCGCAUAUGCCUUAGAAUCACAUGGUUCAAAAGGGAAAGGAGCAAUCCGCUGAUAGAUGGGCUUGCGUCUGAUUAGAUAGUUGGUGAGGUAACGGCCCACCAAGUCGACGAUCAGUAGCCGGACUGAGAGGUUGAACGGCCACAUUGGGACUGAGAUACGGCCCAG
rnacentral:rRNA from 1 species